UAGGGAAUCUUCCGCAAUGGGCGAAAGCCUGACGGAGCAACGCCGCGUGAGUGAUGAAGGUCUUCGGAUCGUAAAACUCUGUUAUUAGGGAAGAACAAAUGUGUAAGUAACUAUGCACGUCUUGACGGUACCUAAUCAGAAAGCCACGGCUAACUACGUGCCAGCAGCCGCGGUAAUACGUAGGUGGCAAGCGUUAUCCGGCAUUAUUGGGCGUAAAGCGCGCGUAGGCGGUUUUUUAAGUCUGAUGUGAAAGCCCACGGCUCAACCGUGGAGGGUCAUUGGAAACUGGAAAACUUGAGUGCAGAAGAGGAAAGUGGAAUUCCAUGUGUAGCGGUGAAAUGCGCAGAGAUAUGGAGGAACACCAGUGGCGAAGGCGACUUUCUGGUCUGUAACUGACGCUGAUGUGCGAAAGCGUGGGGAUCAAACAGG
rnacentral:rRNA from 2 species